rnacentral:rRNA from 1 species
GACGAACCGUGCGAACGUUAUUCGGAAUCACUGGGCUUAAAGCGCGUGUAGGCGGGAGGGCACGUCCGUCGCUGAAAUCCCCCGGCUCAACCGGGGAACGGGCGCGGAUACGACCUUCCUGGAGGGGCGUAGGGGGACCUGGAACUUCCGGUGGAGCGGUGAAAUGCGUUGAGAUCGGAAAGAACGCCCGUGGCGAAAGCGAGGUCCUGGACGCCUACUGACGCUGAGACGCGAAAGCCAGGGGAGCGAACGGG